rnacentral:rRNA from 1 species
CAGUCGAGGGGCAGCGGGGGUAGCAAUACCCGCCGGCGACCGGCGCACGGGUGAGUAACGCGUAUGCAACUUACCUAUCAGAGGGGGAUAACCCGGCGAAAGUCGGACUAAUACCGCAUGAAGCAGGGGCCCCGCAUGGGGAUAUUUGCUAAAGAUUCAUCGCUGAUAGAUAGGCAUGCGUUCCAUUAGGCAGUUGGCGGGGUAACGGCCCACCAAACCGACGAUGGAUAGGGGUUCUGAGAGGAAGGUCCCCCACAUUGGUACUGAGACACGGACCAAACUCCUACGGGAGGCAGCAGUGAGGAAUAUUGGUCAAUGGGCGCGAGCCUGAACCAGCCAAGUCGCGUGAGGGAUGAAGGUUCUAUGGAUCGUAAACCUCUUUUAUAAGGGAAUAAAGUGCGGGACGUGUCCUGUUUUGUAUGUACCUUAUGAAUAAGGAUCGGCUAACUCCGUGCCAGCAGCCGCGGUAAUACGGAGGAUCCGAGCGUUAUCUGGAUUUAUUGGGUUUAAAGGGUGCGUAGGCGGCCUUUUAAGUCAGCGGUGAAAGUCUGUGGCUCAACCAUAGAAUUGCCGUUGAAACUGGGGGGCUUGAGUAUGUUUGAGGCAGGCGGAAUGCGUGGUGUAGCGGUGAAAUGCUUAGAUAUCACGCAGAACCCCGAUUGCGAAGGCAGCCUGCCAAGCCAUGACUGACGCUGAUGCACGAAAGCGUGGGGAUCAAACAGGAUUAGAUACCCUGGUAGUCCACGCAGUAAACGAUGAUCACUAGCUGUUUGCGAUACACUGUAAGCGGCACAGCGAAAGCGUUAAGUGA